rnacentral:rRNA from 1 species
AUAAGCGCCGGUAAGGUGAUAUGAACCGUUAUAACCGGCGAUACCCGAAUGGGGAAACCCAGUGUGACUCGUCACACUAUCAUUAACUGAAUCCAUAGGUUAAUGAGGCGAACCGGGGGAACUGAAACAUCUAAGUACCCCGAGGAAAAGAAAUCAACCGAGAUUCCCCCAGUAGCGGCGAGCGAACGGGGAGGAGCCCAGAGCCUGAAUCAGCAUGUGUGUUAGUGGAAGCGUCUGGAAAGGCGCGCGAUACAGGGUGACA